UACAGAGGGUGCAAGCGUUAAUCGGAAUUACUGGGCGUAAAGCGUGCGUAGACGGUUAUUUAAGUCAGGUGUGAAAGCCCCGGGCUCAACCUGGGAAUUGCAUUUGAGACUGAAUAGCUAGGGUGCGGAAGGGGCUACUGGAAUUCCGUGUGUAGCGGUGAAAUGCGUAGAUAUACGGAGGAACACCUGCGGCGAAGGCGGGUAGCUGGGGCCAACACUGACGCUGAGACGCGAAAAGCUAGGGGGAGCAAACGGG
rnacentral:rRNA from 1 species